CCUACGGGGGGCAGCAGUGGGGAAUAUUGCACAAUGGGCGCAAGCCUGAUGCAGCCAUGCCGCGUGUGUGAAGAAGGCCUUCGGGUUGUAAAGCACUUUCAGCGGGGAGGAAGGCGGUGAGGUUAAUAACCUCAUCGAUUGACGUUACCCGCAGAAGAAGCACCGGCUAACUCCGUGCCAGCAGCCGCGGUAAUACGGAGGGUGCAAGCGUUAAUCGGAAUUACUGGGCGUAAAGCGCACGCAGGCGGUCUGUCAAGUCGGAUGUGAAAUCCCCGGGCUCAACCUGGGAACUGCAUUCGAAACUGGCAGGCUAGAGUCUUGUAGAGGGGGGUAGAAUUCCAGGUGUAGCGGUGAAAUGCGUAGAGACCUGGAGGAAUACCGGUGGCGAAGGCGGCCCCCUGGACAAAGGCUGACGCUCAGGUGCGAAAGCGUGGGGAGCAAACAGGAUUAGAUACCCGUGUAGUC
rnacentral:rRNA from 1 species